AACGAACGCUGGCGGCAGGCCUAACACAUGCAAGUCGAGCGAGGACUUUGGUUCUAGCGGCGGACGGGUGAGUAACGCGUGGGAAUGUGCCCUUCUCUACGGAAUAGCCCUGGGAAACUGGGAGUAAUACCGUAUACGCCCUAUUGGGGAAAGAUUUAUCGGAGAAGGAUCAGCCCGCGUUGGAUUAGGUAGUUGGUGGGGUAAUGGCCUACCAAGCCGACGAUCCAUAGCUGGUUUGAGAGGAUGAUCAGCCACACUGGGACUGAGACACGGCCCAGACUCCUACGGGAGGCAGCAGUGGGGAAUCUUAGACAAUGGGGGCAACCCUGAUCUAGCCAUGCCGCGUGAGUGAUGAAGGCCUUAGGGUUGUAAAGCUCUUUCAGCUGGGAAGAUAAUGACGGUACCAGCAGAAGAAGCCCCGGCUAACUCCGUG
rnacentral:rRNA from 1 species